AAUAAAUCGUAAAUCUGUGUAAUAAUAAUUGCAGGACAAUAUGGAUCUUGAAGAGCUUAAAAAAGGUGCAAAUCCUUUUAGAUCCAAAACCAAAUAAAACUUAAUAACCAUAAUCAAAUGAAAACGAAACGACAUUUAUAAAGAAAAUAAAUACAUGAAUAAAAUAGUAUAUAGAGGCAAUACCGGGAGAACUGAAACAUCUAAGUACCCCGAGGAAAAGAAAGAAACAUCGAUUUUCAAAGUAGCGGCGAGCGAAAUGGAAAGAGCCCGCUUAAAGAAAUACUAAGAAAGUAUCCGAAUGAUCUUGGAAAAAUCAUCCAAAGAAAGUGAAAGACUUGUAGGAGAAGAUAUUAAUAUUUUGAUAAGCUUUACGAGUACCACAAGGCACGAGAAACCUGGUGGGAAUAUGGGAGGACCACCUCCCAAGGCUAAAUACUACUUGGUGACCGAUAGAGAACAGUACCGUGAGGGAAAGGUAAAAAGAACCCCGAAAGGGGAGUGAAAUAGAACCUGAAACCCUGCGUUUACAAGCAAAGAAAGCACGUGAAAAGUGCAAUCUUGUACUUUUUGUAGAACGGGCCAGCGAGUUACUUUUGUAAGCAAGGUUAAGAAGUUAAGCUUCGUAUCCGAAGAGAAAUCAAGUCUUAAUAGGGCGACAUAGUUUACAGGAGUAGACCCGAAACCAGGUGACCUAUCCAUGAGCAGAGUGAAGUUAAAGUAAAAUUUAAUGGAGGCUCGAACCGGGUGUGGUUUAAAACACAUCGGAUGACUUGUGGAUAGGGGUGAAAAGCCAAUCGAACCUGGAGAUAGCUGGUUCUCCUCGAAAUAGCUUUAGGGCUAGCCUUUAGGAUGUUUAAUGGAGGUAGAGCUACUGACUGGUUGCGGGGUGUUUAUACAUUACCAAAACCUAUCAAACUCCGAAUGCCAAGAAAACAAACCUAAGGAGUCAGACUAUGUGGGAUAAGCUUCAUAGUCGAAAGGGAAAGAGCCCAGACCAUCAGCUAAGGUCCCCAAAUACCGAUUAAGUGGUAAAGGAUGUGAAGUUACCCAAACAACUAGGAUGUUGGCUUAGAAGCAGCCAUACAUUUAAAGAGUGCGUAAUAGCUCACUAGUCGAGUGACCUUGCGCCGAAGAUUUCCGGGGCUAAAUCGGAUACCGAAGCUGUGGACUCAUCUAAUGAGUGGUAGAGGAGCAUUGUGUAAUAGAUAGAAGCAGUACCGAAAGGCGCUGUGGACGAAACACAAGAGAGAAUGCUGGCAUAAGUAGCGAGAAGGAGUGUGAGAAUCACUCCCGUCGAAAACCUAAGGGUUCCUGAGCAAGGCUCGUCCCCUCAGGGUAAGUCGGGACCUAAGGCGAGGCCGAAAGGCGUAGCCGAUGGACAAGUAGUAAAAAUUCUACUACUAUCAAUUAUCGUAUAAAUGAAGCGGGGACACAGAAGGAUAAGCUAAGCGUACCAGAUGGACGAGUACGCUCAAAUAAAAAGGCAUGCCAGGACUAAUAACCAGGCUAAGCCAAUUUAUGAUGAGGAUCGAAAAUAAGUAGAGAAGUAGCCGAUUUCACACUGUCAAGAAAAGCCGCUAAAUAGAUAAAAGAUACCCGUACCGUAAACCGACACAGGUAGGAAAGGAGAGAAUCCUAAGACGCGCGGAAGAACCUUUGUUAAGGAACUCGGCAAAAUGACCCCGUAAGUUAGCGAGAAGGGGAGCCAGAGCGAUUUGGCCGCAGUGAAUAGGCCCAAGCGACUGUUUACCAAAAACACAAGUUUCUGCUAAGUCGAAAGACGACGUAUAGGAGCUGACACCUGCCCGGUGCUGGAAGGUUAAGGGGAAAUGUUAGCAGGUAGCGAAGCAUAGAACUUAAGCCCCAGUAAACGGCGGCCGUAACUAUAACGGUCCUAAGGUAGCGAAAUUCCUUGUCGGGUAAGUUCCGACCCGCACGAAAGGUGUAACCAUGUACAGAAUAGGUGGGAGACAAAGAUCCUGGUACGCAAGUAUCAGAGGAGUCAAAAAGUGGGAUACCACUCCUGUAGUGCUGGAAUUCUAACCUUGAGCCGUAAACCGGUUUAGGGACACUGUCAGUUGGGCAGUUUGACUGGGGCGGUCGCCUCCCAAAAAGUAACGGAGGCGUUCAAAGGUUCCCUCAGCACGGACGGAAAUCGUGCAAAGAGUACAAAGGCAGAAGGGAGCUUAACUGCGAGAUAAACAGAUCGAGCAGAUGAGAAAUCAGGACUUAGUGAUCCGGUGGUACCACGUGGAAGGGCCAUCGCUCAACGGAUAAAAGCUACCCUGGGGAUAACAGGCUUAUCUCCCCCAAGAGUUCAUAUCGACGGGGAGGUUUGGCACCUCGAUGUCGGCUCGUCUCAUCCUGGGGCUGAAGUAGGUCCCAAGGGUCAGUAGCUACGUUUGGAAAGGAUAAGAGCUGAAAGCAUCUAAGCACGAAGCCCCCCUUAAGAUAAGAUUUCCUUAAAGUAAGACACCUUGAAGACCACAAGGUAGAUAGGCAGUAAGUGUAAGAGUAGUAAUACUUUGAGCCUAACUGUACUAAUAUGUCGAAAACUUGAUCAA
rnacentral:rRNA from 1 species